CCUACGGGAGGCUGCAGUGGGGAAUAUUGCACAAUGGGGGAAACCCUGAUGCAGCAACGCCGCGUGAGUGAAGAAGUAUCUCGGUAUGUAAAGCUCUAUCAGCAGGGAAGAAAAUGACGGUACCUGACUAAGAAGCCCCGGCUAACUACGUGCCAGCAGCCGCGGUAAUACGUAGGGGGCAAGCGUUAUCCGGAUUUACUGGGUGUAAAGGGAGCGUAGACGGUGUGGCAAGUCUGAAGUGAAAGCCCGGGGCUCAACCCCGGGACUGCUUUGGAAACUGUCAUGCUGGAGUGCGGGAGAGGUAAGCGGAAUUCCUAGUGUAGCGGUGAAAUGCGUAGAUAUUAGGAGGAACACCAGUGGCGAAGGCGGCUUACUGGACAGUAACUGACGUUGAGGCUCGAAAGCGUGGGGAGCAAACAGGAUUAGAUACCCUAGUAGUC
rnacentral:rRNA from 1 species